rnacentral:lncRNA from 1 species
UGGAACAGGAGAUACUGAUGCCUUGUACGCUCUAAUUCGAAAGGAUCCGUACAUGUUGGAGCAUAUUGAUCAGAUUCCUUUCACCGAUACUCCACUUCACAUAGCAGCAAAUGAAGGCCAAAUUAAGUUUGCAAUGGAGAUGAUCAACUUGAAGCCUUCGUUUGGUCGGAAGCUAAACCCAGACGGGUUUAGCCCCAUGCACUUGGCCCUCAAAAUGGGGCAUACCAAGCUAGUGCUUCGACUGUUGAAGACCGAUAAAGACCUGGUUCGCGUCAAAGGAAGGGAAGGGAUGACUCCUUUCCAUUGGGCAGCUGCAGUGGGGAACUCUAAUCUUUUAUUCCACUUCCUUGAAACUUGCCCUGAAUGCGUUGAGGAUGUCACGGUUCGUAACGAGACUGCAUUACAUCUUGCUCUGAAAAACGACCACACCGACGCUUUUAAUCUCUUACAUGGAUGGCUUCGAAAGAACCGUUGUGGAGGAGGCAAGGAUUUGGAAAGAAAGGUUGUGAAUUGGAGAGAUGAUGAUGACAACACUGCGUUGCACAUUGCAGCUACAAAGCAACAACAUCAGGUAUAUAUGCAAUAUAAUGAUAAGUUGCGUUCCUUUGAUCAUUUUAUUAAUUAUGACUAUUUAUAAUAUACUAUGCAGGCAGUACAACUGUUGUUGGAGUCCUUUUAUGGGUUAGAUGCAAACGCUAAGAACUCGGAAGGUUUGACAGCUCGAGAAAUCAUAGAAAGGGUUGAAAGACAAGGGCUGAACAUGAGUGGCGCCGAAGACGAUGAUACCACCACCGCCAAGAUUGAGCGCAUUAAGAACAGAACUAGUAGGUCUGAAAGAGCAUUAGUAAAGUUGAUUCGUGCAAGGAAUGGGUUGUCAGAGAACAUGCUCAACGCAACACUGGUGGUAGCGGCGCUGGUCAUAACAGCAAUCUACCAGUCAUCUUUAAGCCCACCAAGAGGUCUUUGGCAAGGUGAUAACACUAUCCGCACCACCACCUCAAACCUUACUUCUACUACUAAAUUUACACUCUUUAACGACAAUUACGAUAUAGCAAGUUCUAGACAUGUGUUGGGUGAAGAAACAAGGAAAACUGGUACAACAAUCAUGAACCCCAACUUGUUUUUAGGGUUUUGGUUAUUCAAUUUAAUAGCAUUUGGGCUUCCAGUUCUUCUAACCGUUUUGCUUUUAUCCAAUGUACCUAGUAUUCUUCUCAUCCCGCUUUAUUAUCUAUCCGUCUCCUACUUCAACUGCAUGACAAUAAUAUCUCCUUCCUCGUUUUGGGCAAGCAUCAACUAUGUUAUCAUGUGGGCAGCAAUUGGUCUCCCGUUGCUCUUAGUUGUUAGAAGCGUAUGGUUAUGGAAGCAGCCAAAGUACAGGGAAAUCAGACAAUUACGCAGACUUUUCCGCAAGUAAAAUAAUGUUGGAACCAUUCAACGGUUGCGAAUGUCAAUGUUGUUUAUAUGUUCUCUUACGUUAUGUACUUUUUUCCAUUUUCGGUAAAAAAUUUAUGUAAUUGUUUUGGAUAAAUUUAAUAAAUAAGAUUACUUUUUCCAACAAUAUCUUUGUCCUUUGCAACAGAAAAAAAAAACAUAGAAAAACCAACCAUCCUAUUUUAUAAUUUAAAAGAAUAUUUUCCUUUUUGUAAAAAGAGAUAUUUUCGAAGUAUUGUUAAUUCAAAAUUAACAAAUUUUUUAAUAAAUCGAUAUUAUUCUCUAAAUAUUUUCUAAAAAAAAUACAAAUUCAUAAACAACAGCUAUAUUCUUUUUCGUUGUGAUUUCGGCAAUAUAAGGCCGAAUUAAAUUUGUAAAAAGGGGUUACGAAGAUUGUAUCAAGAAACGAUUAGAAGAAUAUAAAAAAAAAAACAACACAGAGAAAAAUAGCAAUUUGGAGAGGUGAUUUUCUCUUUGGGAUUUUCUUUUCAUUUUUUCCUUUUGAUUUACUGUUUUUUGCAUAAAACAAAUAGAAAAGAAAAGGAGGAACCAUACCUGGGAGGCGUGCUUCCGAAGCCCUUCCUUGUUCUGUGCAGGGUGCAGAAUGAAGGAGUAGAGGGCUUUUGGGAAGAAGCGGCGCACGCAGGAGAGGAAUAACCUAGGGGUUUUUUUUUUUUUUUUUAAACCUUUAAAUGGCUUUUAUGCAGCAUACAACACGGCACCGUUUGGAGCCUGAUCAGUGGUUUCAAAACGGUGCCGUAUAGGCCUGUACCCAUGCGCGACCCGAUCCGACCCUGAGAGGAUCCGCGCGUUUUGUAAAUGGUUUAUUUUCUCGUUUGAUCCUUCUUGUUUUUCAAAAUGUGUUUAAUUAUUUUUUUCUUUUUAAAUUCAAUCACAAGUUUUAUUUCUGUUCUAAUUUAAUCCCCUAUCUGUUAUUAGUUAUUUAUUAUUAAUUAUUUUUACUAUUAUUUUUAUUAUUGUAUAAUAUCAUUUUUAUGGUGUUAUUAUUACCAUUACAACCAUAUUUAUGCAUACAUUUUUUUUGAAAUAUACGUACAUUUUUUUAUAAUUUAUAUAUGUACAUACGUUUUUAUAUUACACAAUUUAUAUACGUAUCUUUAUAUAUAUUUAAAUACAUAUUACUUUAAUUUUCAUAAAUAUAUAUAUACAUUUACAUUUUAUAAUACAUAUACAUUUUCCAAACUUUAUAGUCCAUACGUAUAUACAUUCAUUUUCUAUAAUAUACAUAUACGUACAUUUUUUGAAAUUAUUAUAAAUAUUUUUUUUGCAUAUUUCAUUUUUUAUAUACAUAUACUUAUAUAUACAUAUUUUAAUACAUGCAUAUACAUAUUUUCAUAGUUUACUUAUAUAUUAUACUUAUACAUUUUUUAUAUUUUGUAAAUAUAAGCCGACCGAGAGGUCUUUGGCAAGGUGAUAACACGAGUAACCCCACCACCACCUCAAACCUUACUACUACCACUAAAUUUAAACUCUUUAACGACAAUUACGCUGAAAAACUUUCUAAACAUGUGUUGGGUGAAGAAACAAUGAAAACUGGUACAGCAAUCAUGAAUCCCAACUUGUUUUUAGGGUUUUGGUUAUUCAAUUUUAUAGCAUUUGGGCUUCCGGUUCUUCUAACCGUUUUCCUUUUAUAUUCUUCUUCUCCCGCUUUAUUUUCUAUCCGUCUCCUACUUUAACUGCAUGACAUUAAUAUCUCCGUCCAUGUUUUGGGCAAACCUCAACUCUGUUGUCAUGUGGGCAGCCAUUAUUCUCCCGUCUCUCUUAGUUUUUGGAGGCGUAUGGUUAUGGAUGCUGCCAAAGUACCGGGAAAUCAGACAAAUACGCAGACGUGUCCGCAAUGACAAUAAUGUCGGAAUAAUUCAAUUCAUGCGAAUGUCAGUCUAAUUUAUAUAUUAUAUUAUGUACUCUUUUCCAUUUUCUCUGUAUUAAUAUCUUUUCUUUUUGAAAAAAAAACACUAUGUAAUUGCUUUGGAUAAAUUUAAUAAAAACAGAUAUAUUUGAAGUAUUGUUUGUUUAAAAUCGACUGAUUUCUAAAUGUGUUAUAUUACUUUCGAGUUAUUAAUUAAAAAUAUCUUUAACAUAAAGAUAUAUGUAAUAGUUACAUAUUUAUUAUUUUAUUUAUAUAAUAAAAAAGUUAUUGAUUAAAAAGAUGAAUUAAAAAAUUAAAAAAUAAUAUAUUUAUUAAUUAAAAAGCACUAUUUUUUAAAAUAACAUGAGAUAAAAAUAUAAAUAUGCGUAGGAGAUGAAUUAAAACCGAGUCUCAAAAAUAAAAUUACUAACAUUUAACUUUUUGAUCAAAUGAAUUAAUGCGUCAAGUUAUUAAAAAUAUAUAUAUUUUAUCCUACAAGACGCAUUUUAUAUUUCUUUCUCUAAAAUCAACUUAUUUCUAUAAAUAUUAAAAAAAUCUACCUAAUACUCUAAUUAUUUUCUAAAAAGGACAUAUAUUGCUAGUAUACCCUAAAACUAGGAAGGGUGCCUGUGGUGCGCCACGCUUUCUAAAGCAAAUAAUAAUAAUAAUAAUAAUAAUAAUAAUAAUAAUAAUAAUACAUUAACCUAAAUUUCAUGAGAGUUUGGUGUCCCUUUUCUUAAUUCUAAAAAAAUAAAAUCUCUCAAAUAAAAAUAAUAAAUAAAAUAAUCUUAAGUCUCGUAUGCGAAAUUGAGUUUUUGUGUCAAAUUUUUUGUGUAAUUUGUAUAUUCGUUAGUUUCCGACUUAUUGAACAAUAAUUGUAUUUAUAUAGAAAUGAUAAAUUAAGUAAAAUUCAUGUCCAAAAUUAAUUAAAAUAAAUAAUAAAAAUAUAUCAAUUAAGCACAUUAUCAUCUAUAUUUUAUAAUAUUAACUAAUUUAACUAUCAUUUAAAUAUAUAUUAUCUACUUUAACAUAAAUAUUUUAUCUUUUAAAAAAUACUCUUCUUUUUUUUAAAAAAAAAAAAAACAAAGACCGGACAUAUUUAUUGAAGUAAUACAACAACAUUGUAGAAAUGAGAAUAAAAAACAAAAAACAGCCAAAUAAAUAUAAACCCUAGGACUUAAAACAUUUUUCAUCUAAAAACAAGAAUAUUAAAAUAGUGAAAAACCUCCAAAUUUACCGUUAUCUACAUCCAUUACUAAUCGUAGACGGUGACAAAGACAUUCGACAGAUGAUAAGCAUUAAAAAUUACUCUUUUAACUACAAUACUAAAAGCGUCCGCAAACCAUUUUUCAAUAAAGAUAUUAAUCAAGCCGGAUUAAUUUAGAGUUAAAUCGAGUAAGUCUAAGGGUGGAUUUGGAUGGGUGAUUGGGUGCUGUGCGGUACGUUUAGUUUACUUUUUGUCUCACGCUAUAGUAUCGCUACAGUAUCUAAUCUUACCGCCAUCGCUAUUUUUACACUAACCGCAGGUAAACCCACCGCCUAUCCAAACUCACUCUAGAUUAAGUCCGUAGAUGAAUUUCCACAUCUUUUUUUAGGCAUUAAAUUGAGAGCCAAUCAAACCUUCCCCUAAUUCCCCUUACCAAUCUAUAAAAAAUUGGAUCUUUGGUUUGAUUUUAUCAAUAAUAAAUUUGAUAACUUUUAUCAUUAUCAUUAUUUUGUUCACUUUUCAUCAAUAAUGAGAUCAAUUGUUUCGCUAAUAGAAUAGAAAAUAGAUAGUUGCUUCCUAUUUCAGCAAUAUUAUAAUGGUACCAUGUGUUUUUAUGUUUUUAAUUUUUAAUAUAAUUAAAGGAUGCAUUGUAAUGUAAAGAAUAAUAAUUCUAAUUAUCUAUGCUUAAAAUUAAUUCAGUUGUGCUUUCAAUCAAUGUAUGAUUUUGAUAUUGCAAGAGGUGUCCAGCUAUGUGGUGAGAUCUUGAAGGUGUGUCUUUGUAACAACUUGAGAAGCUUUUUGGAUUUUUUUUCUUCUUCUUUUAGGUUUAUUAUUAGUAAAUGAAUUUUUGCUGCAAAAAAUUAGCUUAAAAACAAAAUAUAAAAAUGAUAGGAAAUAUGUUAAUUUUAUACAACGACAAUUAAUGACAUUGCAAUAUAUUACUUAACAACAUGAACAAUCCCCACCAUCGUAUUGUCAUUCCCAAGUAAUGGCGUAUUCUCUUUACUUGGAAAAUAUCCCUCCUAACGCUGGCCGAAAUUGGUUGAAACAUUAUGCAGCUCAUUUGGUAAGAUAAUGGACGUGUUUAUUGCAUCAAAAAGAAAUAGAAGAGGUCGUCGGUUUUGUUUCGUUAGGUAUGGUAGGUUGGAAGAAGCAAAGAGAGCAUUGUGGAGUCUAGAUGGAAGGUGGUUCUCUAAUCAUAGAUUGACAGUCAGUAUGGCGAAGUUUAUACCUAGAGAUGAUUUGUGGAGGAAGGCAAAUGGGAGAGAGAUCAGACAACAUACAUAGAAUAUGGAAAGAAGAUGUGUUGAAGGAAAUACGGGACCGCAUGUAGGGAAGAAUGCAAGUGAGAUUAUGGCAAAUAAUAAACAACAUGAAGAAAAUGACCCAAUCAAGUUGGACGAGAUGGUGGAAGAUUUAUGAAUUUCCAGAACAAAGUAGUAGAGGGAGCCAUUGAUGGAGAGAACUUGAAGUGGCUUGAAAAAUGUAUUGUGGGUAGAAUGAGAAACAAUGCUACUGUGGGGUUAUGGGGUGAUACUGGAAUUUAUAAAAUUGGAGUCAAAAGAUUAUCGGAUAAUGAUUUGUAUGAAUUGGAAGCCAAUGAAUGGGGAGAUGUUUUGUAAGUGUUCAGAAAGUUGAACGGUGGACCACAAAGAUGAAAGAUUAAGGUGGUUAUCCUGUUACGAGAUUCCAAUACAUGCUUGGUCUUCGAGGAGGAAGUAGUUAAACAACUUGCUGGCUUGCUGCUAUUGAAUAUUAUAAUUGGUUUGAUUUAUUAUUUUUGGUACAAACAAUCAAGACUCAAACAGUCAAUCGACUGUCGGAUAGAGCACGUGCAAAACCAACCUAACAUAUGAGAAUAUAUCCAGAAGAAGAAACUUAUCCAAGUCCAACCCCCCACAAGUUGCCAAUCGGCUCAUCCCAUUGACCUUUCCACACCUUCGAAUUGAUUGGUGCAAUGCGAGGUCCAAUAUUGGAAGGAGAAUGGAAUCUAAACCGUGGGACCACACUUAAGCCGGCGUCCUAAAUGACUAGAUGCGUGGAAGACGGUGGGUAUUCUUUCACCCAAUAACAUCACUACAUAUACACAAACCAUGUCUGCCCAUCUUGUGGGCUACUUGUGAUAAAACAGGAAAACAAUGAAAAAUAAUAAUAUAAAGAAGAGAAACAAAAUCCACACCUAAUAUAAUUUUUCCUAAAUACAAGAAAACAAGUUUUGGGAUAAAAAAUCAUAUCGAAGAUUAAAGGAUUCAAUUCAUUUAGACUUGAAUGUUAAUUGAAUGAUUAAACAUUCAAAUCUCGUUAAAUUCAUGAACAGCUUUUCAUUAGAUAGAAUAUUCUCUAUUUCUUAAAUUUAAUUCUUUUAUAUUAAGAUCUGUUUGAGACAUUAAAAAUUGGUUUAAUUUACCAAAAUAAUAAUAAUGAGGCCCAUGGUUUUGGAAUCUUUUCUAUGUCACAGCUAUGGGGAUGGGGUCAAGACACAGCUGUCCUUUUUUGAGGUCAAAUAAAUUGAUUAAAAAUAUCCACCAAAAUGAUAAGAAUGUACAUAAUUCAUCUUAUUUUUAAACUGAUAUUCCUAAGUAUAUUAUAUAUUUUUAAUACUGAUAUUUCUUAAUAAAUUUGUUUCUAAAUUAAAUAUUUUUUUUCAAAAUCAUCUUAAAGUUUUUGAAACUUAUGUUUGUUUAAAUAUUAAAAUAAUUUUUAAUACACUGCUUGUGGAAAAAGUUUGACAAAAUAUAAUAAAAUAUCAAAAAAAAGACGCAUACCAAUACACAAAAUAUAUUAUCUAUUUUAUAACAUAUUAUUUAAAAUAAAUAUUUUAUUUUCUAAAAGUAAUUUUUUACCGCAAUACCAAAAAUAUAAAUUUUAGAGUAAAAUUUCUGAAAGCGAAGCUGGUCAACUUGCCUUGAAACAGAUGGCGAAAAUGAGUCCAAAUUAUAUCGGAGCGAGAAACAGGGAGUGGGAUUCAAGAUUUUGACGUACUGUAUAGGCGGCCACCGAUUUAUAUCCCUCGUCAUAUAUAGAUAUAUUAAUCAUUUUUUAAAAUAUUCGAUAUUUAUAUUCAAUAUAAAUCUACCCUUGACGGAUUAAUUAGUUUAGUGCAAGCUUGGUUUAAAUCAGUUGAGGUUGCAAAUAAGGAUAGUCAGUUUGCAACUCUCCUAAUUUUUUCAUCAUUUAAAGAAAGAAACAAAAGCAUGGAUCCAAGCUUGAGAGAAGUAGCUGGAACAGGAGAUACUGAUGCCUUGUACGCUCUAAUUCGAAAGGAUCCGUACAUGUUGGAGCAUAUUGAUCAGAUUCCUUUCAUCGAUACUCCACUUCACAUAGCAGCAAAUGAAGGUCAAAUUAAGUUUGCAAUGGAGAUGAUCAACUUGAAGCCUUCGUUUGGUCGGAAGCUAAACCAAGACGGGUUUAGCCCCAUGCACUUGGCCCUCCAAAUGGGGCAUACCAAGCUAGUGCUUCGACUGUUGAAGACCGAUAAAGACCUGGUUCGCGUCAAAGGAAGGGAAGGGAUGACCCCUUUCCAUUGUGCAGCUGCAGUGGGGAACUCUAAUCUUUUAUUCCACUUCCUUGAAACUUGCCCUGAAUGCGUUGAGGAUGUCACGGUUCGUAACGAGACUGCAUUACAUCUUGCUCUGAAAAACGACCACACCGA